AAGUCGUAACAAGGUUUCCGUAGGUGAACCUGCGGAAGGAUCAUUACAGAGAAUAUGCCCCCCGGGGUAGAUCUCCAACCCUAUGUUUACUCUACAAAUGUUGCUUUGGUAGGCCUGCCUAACGGCUACCGGCACCUCUGCUGGUUAGUGUCUACCAGAGGACCCCAGAUUCUUAGUUUGUUAUGGUCUGAGUCUUUUGCAAUAAAAGAAAA
rnacentral:misc_RNA from 1 species